rnacentral:lncRNA from 1 species
ACACCCCGUGCACCACGGUUCUGCCUCCGCACCCGCGACACCUUGCCUCCGCACGCGCUUCCGUCAGUCACGCAAGCUAUGCCUCGCCCGAGCACCAAAUCCGCAGCGCUCCCACCCUGUCUGCCCCAGAUCUGGAUCCUGUCCCAUCAUCGGCGCCUCCUCCCCCGCCCGCCCGAGACUCGGAUCCCACUGCUCCCCCGUCUCUCCUCACCUUCCUUCCCUCCCCCUCCCUGCUCGGUGCUCGCACACGCUGGCGCGGCUUGCCCCCACGUUGCGCUCCCACCACCACUCGCUGAUCGCCUCACGCACACACACCGACCCACCGGCCGACGAGGGGCAACCGCCGCAACACAAAUCCACACGCCUGCCGCCGCCGCAUAGGACUCGAUCCCGACGGCGACGAGGGCGCGGUGGCACUCCUGGCACUUGAACCGCGACACAGAAGGAUACACGGACGAGAGAUCUGCGGCGCACGGGCUGCUGCCAGCGGAUCGUCGUCGUCGGCGGCCGGCGAGAGGUGGGGGUGGUAGGAUCGUGGAGGAGGACUGGAGGUGGAGGAGACAGAGUGUCCCCGCAGGCACGCAGCACGCCAGCACUGCAGCAACGAGAAGCGGCGCAGGGAGCGUCGUCGGCCGGCAAGAGGUGGGGGAGGCGGGAUCGUGGAUGAGGACUGGAGGUGGAGGAGACGGAGUGUCCCCGCAGGCACGCCAGCACUGCAGCAGCGAGAAGCAGCGCAUGGAGCGUCGUCGGCCAGCGAGAGGUGGGGGAGGCUGGAUCGUGGAGGAGGACUGGAGGUGGAGGAGACGGAGUGUCCCCGCAGGCACGCCACACUACAGCAGCGAGAAGCAAUGGUUUUGAAGUGUACUGUAUGUGUCUACUAUACUGAUUGUUACAUGUUCUUCCAUGUACCUGAAGACUUCGUUCUUCUUUCCUGCCUCGUAAAUAUUGCACUGGAGUAGUGGUUGUGGUGCCCUGUGGCAAAGAGCCACAGUUCUUUGUACCUAGGUUAAUAAUGAAAUUUCAUUGUGAUAUAGUAAAUGGCAGUAAAGUUCAGUUUCAGUCUCCAGUGGAAAAUUUUUG